rnacentral:rRNA from 1 species
UACGGGGGGGGCAAGCGUUGUUCGGAAUUACUGGGCGUAAAGGGCGCGUAGGCGGUCAGCACAAGUCAGUUGUGAAAUCUCCGGGCUUAACUCGGAAAGGUCAGCCGAUACUGCGGGGCUAGAGUGCAGAGGGGGCAACUGGAAUUCUCGGUGUAGCGGUGAAAUGCGUAGAUAUCGAGAGGAACACCUGCGGCGAAGGCGGGUUGCUGGGCUGACACUGACGCUGAGGCGCGAAAGCUAGGGGAGCGAACGGG